rnacentral:lncRNA from 1 species
GAGAUGUUUGACCCCACAGAUGACCAAUAUCAGCAAGUGCACAAUGAAGAGACUAGAUCUGGAUGAGGAAAGAAUCUAUAGAUCACGUGAAGAGAGGCAGUGUGACAAAUGGAGGAAUAAGAAGACAUAGUCAUAAAAGAGGACAUCUCCAAGGUCAAAGGACUCACAUAGAUUCCAACAGAUAAGCCACAGCCAAAUAUAUGGACUUUGAAAAGCAGAGACGAGUAGGAAGAUCUUAAUUCUGAGGUUGGGAGGAGUCCUUGGAAGAUUUUUGUGGAUGGAAGUCACAAGGAAGAUUAGCCCUGAGCUAACUACUGCCAGUCCUCCUCUUUUGUU